rnacentral:SRP_RNA from 1 species
GCCGGGCGUGGUGGCGCGCUGCUGUAGUCCGGGCUACUCCGGAUGCUGAGGUGGGAGGAUCGCUUGAGUCCAGGAGUUCUGGGCUGCAGUGUACUAUGCCGAUCACGUGUCCGCACUAGGUUUGGCAUCAAUAGGGUGACCUCUCCGAAGCGGGGGAUCACCAGGUUGCCUAAGGCGGAAUGAACCGGCCCAGGUUGGAAACGGAGCAGGUCAAAACUCCCGCGCUGAUCAGUAGUGGGACUGCACCUGUGAGUAGCCACUGCACUCCAGCCUGGGCAAUACAGUGAGACCCCUUCCCU